UACAGAGGGGGCAAGCGUUAUUCGGAAUUACUGGGCGUAAAGGGCGCGUAGGCGGCCUUGAAAGUCGGAUGUGAAAGCCCUGGACCCAAUCCAGGAAGUGCAUCGGAAACUGCGGGGCUCGAGUGCAGGAGAGGAGGACGGAAUUCCGGGUGUAGAGGUGAAAUUCGUAGAUAUCAGGAGGAACACCAGUGGCGAAGGCGGUUCUCUGGAGUUUAUCUGACGCUGAGGCGCGAAAGCGUGGGGAGCAAACAGG
rnacentral:rRNA from 1 species